CCUACGGGUGGCAGCAGUGAGGAAUAUUGGUCAAUGGGCGAGAGCCUGAACCAGCCAAGUCGCGUGAGGGAGUACUGCCCUAUGGGUUGUAAACUUCUUUUAUAUGGGAAUAAAACGUUCCACGUGUGGGAUUUUGUAUGUACCAUAUGAAUAAGGAUCGGCUAACUCCGUGCCAGCAGCCGCGGUAAUACGGAGGAUCCGAGCGUUAUCCGGAUUUAUUGGGUUUAAAGGGAGCGUAGGUGGAUUGUUAAGUCAGUUGUGAAAGUUUGCGGCUCAACCGUAAAAUUGCAGUUGAAACUGGCAGUCUUGAGUACAGUAGAGGUGGGCGGAAUUCGUGGUGUAGCGGUGAAAUGCUUAGAUAUCACGAAGAACUCCGAUUGCGAAGGCAGCUCACUGGACUGCAACUGACACUGAGGCUCGAAAGUGUGGGUAUCAAACAGGAUUAGAUACCCUUGUAGUC
rnacentral:rRNA from 1 species